UACUUUUUGGAGACUGAACCUUUGUGGACU
rnacentral:piRNA from 1 species